GAAUUUUUUUAUGAAAGGAGUUCAUGGAAUAGUUUAAUGAUAUGAUCCCUUGGCAUGAACUAAUCAAGAGUAUUAGCUAGAACAAUGACCUGAAAAAUAGAAGGACCUGGGUUGCUAAUCAAUCGGUUAUGACAUAGACCUGACAGUUUACAUUAGAUGAUUCAUCCUCUGAUGGCUUUGGCUACAUCUCCAGAACGCAUGUUGCUGGUGCAUCUGUUACAAGGUGUGAGGCAAGUAAUUUAUGUGAAGGUUCCAACACAUUCUGCAGUUUGAGGGGCCACCUGUGCAUUGCAUCGGAUGUAGUGCGGGUGUUGUCUUCCUUCACAGAAUGAGUAUCUAACUCCAAUUUAUUAAAUUGGUAACAGGGGCAUUCUUCAUAUACAUAGGUCAAUAAACAAUAGUUCAGGCUAUUGUUGCAUUGUUUGAUUCAGAUAAAUUCAGUAGAGAGUACUUACGGAAGUAGUAUCAGGUAUUGCUGCAUUGUCAUGUAUUGCUUUAUUUGUCCUUCUAUAAUGGCCUUCAUUUGUACAUUUUUUUAUUGCUUCCUUGGAAGAAUGAGCUGAAUACCUUCACUAUACACACCGGUUGGUAGAUUCUAGCAAUGGUUUUUUUUCUUCAUCUUCCCUCUUUUGAUAUUGUUGCCGCUCCUUCCUUGGGUAAUUUUUCCAUCUGCAUAUGUUAUCGAAUUAGGUUACCCCUGCCAUGUCCACGCCUCCUUUAGCGGCCUAGGAAAUUAACUGAUGUUUCGAUGGAUGGCUCAUAUUCAAAGUGCCAAAUACAUUCCUCCAAUUUCACAUAUGUGAAUAUUUUUGUUUCGGUCAAUCACAUAUGAAGUUAAGUGUGACCAGGUCAGGUCACUCCAUGUUUGUGUCGACCCAAAAAAUUGCCGGAACCUGCCAGACUAUUGGUAGAAAGUUGUAUUCUUCUUUUUUAAACAAUGCUGAGAAUUGUUUUAGGCAACCUCGGCCAAUAGGAAAUACAUAUUAUUGUCCUAAAGCUGAUCAUAUUUAGAACUUUAGGCUUCAGAUAGAUGUUUAGGAAGCACCACAUUAAUUCAUGAACUCAGACUGAUAAUGAGUGUAUUCAGUCUGCGACAACCGUGUUUUUGUUGCCAAGUCCUAUAACUCCAUUUUAUUUGUGCUUAAAGUUUCUUUAGAAGAAAA